CUGGGCUAUAAGGGAACUAGAAUGCAGUUGUUAGCAGCAGCGAAUCUGCAUGGGUCUGCAGCAACCUCAAGUCUCCUCAGAAGAAAGAAUUUGACCAAGGGGCAUAAGGCAGAAGGAGAGACCCGGGCAAGCUUCAGAGCAAGAGUGGAAGUUUAUUAAAAAGCUUCAGAGCAGGAAUGAAAGAAAAGUACACUUGGAAGAGAGCCAAACAGGUAAAACCUCAUUAACGUAACUGCAACAAUGAAGACAUUACCUAAUCAAUGGAAGCAGAGAGGAAUAGCUGCUGUCAAUUACGCUAUACCUGUACAAGACAAAUUUCUCACCCAACCUCCUUGCCCUUGGCUGAAUCAUCCAAUCCUGAACUUCCAUGGAGAAGAGAGAAGUCCAUGGACAGGGAUUUUCCUCAUCAGCUGCUCCUGACCACAGUAUUGGGGUUUGAGUGCUCAAGGUGCCCCUAAGGAACCAUCCCAAGGGUAUUUUCCCUAGAGGUCUCUUAAGAGUUGGGUGAAAUUUAAGAAGAGCAAGCUGCCUUCCAUCUGCUAUCCCCGGGGUCAUGUGCCCCCAGAUGGUGCAGGAUGAGUGGGGGCAAAGGGCAAGGGGGAAGUAUGUCAACUGGAACAUCACAGAAGUCUAAAUAAGGACUGUUCUGUUUGCCAUCCAUCUCUUAAUUUUUUGAUCUCACUAAAGGAAUACAACCCUAUAAUAAACACUCCAGCCUUACAUAAAUAAGCACCAGCUUGCAACUGCCUCUGUAGCCAGCUCACUGGAUUCCUGAGAUUAAGAACACAGGCUCUAUCUCGACUGAGGUACAAGGUUGUUAAAAUGUGGACAGAUUGGAGCGCUACAAAAAUGUGGCAUGGAAGAAAUGCCUGUCCAGAGUCUGACUGUGUCACCCAGGCUGGAGUGCAGUGGCGUGAUCUCGGCUUACUACAACCUCUGCCUCCUGGGUUCAAGCAAUUCUCCUGCCUCAGCCUCCAGAGUAGCUGGGAUUACAGCACCCCUCCCACAAGCUAGCAGGAGGGUGGAAGUGAGGAUGAAGGAUCCUUGUGGAAGCUGAGUCCAGCCCAGGAUGCCUCUGCCCACUUCUGCUCUGCUCUUAGCACAGGUGCCUGGCUCCCACCUGUUGAGUUACAGGCCACUGACUUCCAAGUCAGGCCAGGAGGUCAGUCAUCUUUUCCACCGAUCCUCUGCCCUGAGCUGAGUUAUCUCGCACAAGUGGUACCCACUGGACCCCGUAGCUCUGGCCCUGCUGGAACUCCCUCGCAGCUUAGCAGGGGUUUUAAAUCUGGCCCAUGAGGCCUUGUCAGUUUCAAGAGCCCCCCCUGACCUUUUAAUAAACAUUUCCUUUGUUAUCAGAAUUAUUUCCUAAUUCAUUCCCUUCUGUCCCUGAAAAUCUAAAUCCUAUUUAAGUUAAUGCCCUUCAUUUUCAUUUAUAAAGACAGAUACAAAAUAAUUAUUUCCUAUCUCCGUGGUUUCCUUAUCUCCCGUCCUAAUAAUGCCUUCAGCAGAUGAACAUUCCCUGUCAGUUGAAACAGUUGGAGUGUUUGUUUUUUUCACUCUUUAAAGAAGAAAAAUAAAAUGCUUUCUCAGGCUUUGUCUCUUCUCUUCUCCUCUCUCCUCUUUUCUCUUUCUGCCUUUCUCGGCUCUUUUCUUCUCACUAUCUGCUUUUCUCCCGGGCGCCCCCUCUCCCUCUUCUGACCCCCACAGUGACCCUUUCUCUCCCUCUCCUGCACCCUCUCCUGCUGUCCUGGCCCUUGCCCAGCCCAGUGUUGCUGGGCGCCUCUCAUUUUCCUGUCCGUAGUGCAAUUUCUCUGCGGCCUCACAUCUGAAUUUCAUCAGCCCAUGAGCCUGCCUUUGAGCUCAGGUCCCCCCAGCUAGUAAAACUGGUUUGGAUGAGCAGACGCAGUCUCGAAAAGAAACAUUCUUUGGUUUCCUCUCAUGACAACUAGUGAGCAGAGAAUUCACAGUUCCCUUCUCCGGGCGCCUCUUUGAAGUGUUUGAUUGAAAGGAGAGGGGAUGGAAAGGAAUGGGGUGAUGGGGGUUGGUAGUGGCGGGAACAAGGAUUCCAGCUUUAACUAGCAACUCUGAAACCAGCGACCCAGACUUCCGGCGACCCUCUCUGUUCCUUGCCCAUCUGGGUAGGGGAGAUGCUGACUGAUUUUUGGCUAUCUGCACCAGAUCCAGUCUUCCACCCUCCUCUCUUUUGUUUUCCAGUAAAACUCAACACACAAUUUAAAUCCAGGGUUUGGGAGAAAGUCAUUAAUAGAGUAGCUGAUUUUAAGGGAACUGGUUCUGUUCUCAGAAAGCAGUUGUUCAAAUCCUAACCAUUAGCACAUGCUGAAUGCCUUCUAUAUGCCAGCUAUGUAAAUGAUUUCAUUUACUUCUCAUGAGGACCCUGUGACCUAGCAGCUACUGUUUCCCCAUUGUAUGGAUGAGGAAACUGAGGCUCAGAAAGACUGGGAAACUUGCUCACAGCCCUCGACCAGCAGAGGUACAACCAGGCCUCGAAUCCAGGUUUUGCUUCAUAUCCCUCACUCUCUGACAUACAGGCCUUCAAGAGAAAGGAUUUCUGUCACUCCUCUGGCUUUAAAGUCUUUGUCAAGGCCAAGAAGGAACUAUGAAGAACUCUUCUGUGACGGUAUCUAACAGGUGGUCUCUGAGCUCUUUUAUCUUUGGUAGAGAAUGCAGAUUACUAGGCACAAAGAUUUAAAAAAACCCACGAGAGAAAAAUGUUUGAAAGCAUGGUGCUACAGAGAGGUCAAGGACUAAUGGAUGGGGAACGGAAUGUACCUACAUCAAGUCCCUUCAUUUUAUAGUCAGGGAAACUGAGGCCUAGCAAGAGCUGGGUCUCACUCCUGCCUUCACUUAGCUCAGCAGCUAAGACUUGCUGAACCCACAAAGAGCUUUCCUUCAUCAUCUGGAGGGAGAUACGGAAGCCACCUAGGGGUUACCCCAGAGAGGCCAGGAGACUUA
rnacentral:lncRNA from 10 species